UACAGAGGGUGCAAGCGUUAAUCGGAAUUACUGGGCGUAAAGCGUGCGUAGACGGUUAUUUAAGUCGGGUGUGAAAGCCCCGGGCUCAACCUGGGAAUUGCAUUCGAGACUGAAUAGCUAGGGUACGGUAGAGGGAAGUGGAAUUUACGGUGUAGCGGUGAAAUGCGUAGAUAUCGUAAGGAAGACCAGUGGCGAAGGCGGGUCUCUGGACAGUUCCUGACGCUGAGGCACGAAGGUCAGGGGAGCAAACGGG
rnacentral:rRNA from 1 species